rnacentral:rRNA from 1 species
UACGAAGGGGGCUAGCGUUGCUCGGAAUCACUGGGCGUAAAGGGUGCGUAGGCGGGUCUUUAGGUCAGGGGUGAAAUCCUGGAGCUCAACUCCAGAACUGCCUUUGAUACUGAAGAUCUUGAGUUCGGGAGAGGUGAGUGGAACUGCGAGUGUAGAGGUGAAAUUCGUAGAUAUUAGGAAGAACACCAGUGGCGAAGGCGGCUCUCUGGUCCAUUACUGACGCUGAGGUACGAAAGCUAGGGGAGCAAACGGG